UACGUAGGAGGCGAGCGUUGUCCGGAAUUACUGGGCGUAAAGCGUGCGCAGGCGGUUUUGUAAGCCAGAUGUGAAAUCCCCGGGCUUAACCUGGGAAUGGCAUUUGGGACUGCAAGGCUUGAGUGCGGCAGAGGAGACUGGAAUUCCUGGUGUAGCAGUGAAAUGCGUAGAGUAUCAGGAGGAACACCGAUGGCGAAGGCAGGUCUCUGGGCUGACACUGACGCUCAUGCACGAA
rnacentral:rRNA from 1 species